rnacentral:rRNA from 1 species
AGUGAACGCUGGCGGUAGGCCUAACACAUGCAAGUCGAACGGCAGCACAGUAAGAGCUUGCUCUUACGGGUGGCGAGUGGCGGACGGGUGAGGAAUACAUCGGAAUCUACUUUUUCGUGGGGGAUAACGUAGGGAAACUUACGCUAAUACCGCAUACGACCUACGGGUGAAAGCAGGGGAUCUUCGGACCUUGCGCGAUUGAAUGAGCCGAUGUCGGAUUAGCUAGUUGGCGGGGUAAAGGCCCACCAAGGCGACGAUCCGUAGCUGGUCUGAGAGGAUGAUCAGCCACACUGGAACUGAGACACGGUCCAGACUCCUACGGGAGGCAGCAGUAGGGAAUAUCGGACAAUGGGCGCAAGCCUGAUCCAGCCAUACCGCGUGGGUGAAGAAGGCCUUCGGGUUGUAAAGCCCUUUUGUUGGGAAAGAAAAGCAGCAGGUUAAUACCCCGCUGUUCUGACGGUACCCAAAGAAUAAGCACCGGCUAACUUCGUG